CCUACGGGUGGCUGCAGUGGGGAAUAUUGCACAAUGGGCGCAAGCCUGAUGCAGCCAUGCCGCGUGUGUGAAGAAGGCCUUCGGGUUGUAAAGCACUUUCAGCGGGGAGGAAGGCGUUAAGGUUAAUAACCUUGGCGAUUGACGUUACCCGCAGAAGAAGCACCGGCUAACUCCGUGCCAGCAGCCGCGGUAAUACGGAGGGUGCAAGCGUUAAUCGGAAUUACUGGGCGUAAAGCGCACGCAGGCGGUCUGUCAAGUCGGAUGUGAAAUCCCCGGGCUCAACCUGGGAACUGCAUUCGAAACUGGCAGGCUAGAGUCUUGUAGAGGGGGGUAGAAUUCCAGGUGUAGCGGUGAAAUGCGUAGAGAUCUGGAGGAAUACCGGUGGCGAAGGCGGCCCCCUGGACAAAGACUGACGCUCAGGUACGAAAGCGUGGGGAGCAAACAGGAUUAGAUACCCCAGUAGUC
rnacentral:rRNA from 1 species